GCGCCAGUGGUGUAAUGGCAUAGAGUAUUCGCGCCCGGUUCGCAGAAGUUGCGGGUUCGACUCCCGUCUGGCGCU
rnacentral:tRNA from 1 species